AUUGAACGCUGGCGGCAUGCCUUACACAUGCAAGUCGAACGGCAGCAUGGAGAGCUUGCUCUCUGAUGGCGAGUGGCGAACGGGUGAGUAAAGCAUCGGAACGUACCGUGUAGUGGGGGAUAACGUAGCGAAAGUUACGCUAAUACCGCAUACGCACUGAGGUGGAAAGCAGGGGAUCGUAAGGCCUUGCGCUGUGCGAGCGGCCGAUGGCAGAUUAGCUAGUUGGUAGGGUAAAGGCCUACCAAGGCGACGAUCUGUAGCGGGUCUGAGAGGAAGAUCCGCCACAAUGGGACAAAGACUCGGCCCCGACACCUGCGGGAGGCAGCAGUGGGGAAUUUUGGACAAUGUGGGCAACCCUGAUCCAGCCGUCCCGCGGGAGUGAAGAAGGCCCUCGGGUUGUAAAGCUCUUUCGGCCGGGAAGAAAUCGCACAGGCUAAUACCCUGUGUGGAUGACGGUACCGGCAUAAGAAGCAUCGGCUAACUACGUUCCAGCCGCCGCGGUAA
rnacentral:rRNA from 1 species